rnacentral:rRNA from 1 species
CCUACGGGAGGCAGCAGUGGGGAAUAUUGGGCAAUGGGCGCAAGCCUGACCCAGCAACGCCGCGUGAGGGAAGAAGGCUCUCGGGGUGUAAACCUCUGUUAGCAGGGACGAAGAAAGUGACGGUAGAAGAGGAAUAAGCGACGGCUCACUACGUGCCAGCAGCGGCGGUAAUACGUAGGUAGCAAGCGUUCUCCGGAUUUAGUGGGUGUAAAGGGCGAGUAGGCGGGUGGGCAAGGCAGAUGUGAAAACUCAGGGCUCAACCCUGAGCCUGCAUUUGAAACUGUGUUGCUUGAGUGCUGGAGAGGCAAUCGGAAUUCCGUGUGUAGCGGUGCAAUGCGUAGAUAUACG